CCUACGGGAGGCUGCAGUGGGGAAUAUUGGACAAUGGGGGCAACCCUGAUCCAGCCAUGCCGCGUGUGUGAAGAAGGCCCUCGGGUUGUAAAGCACUUUCAGUGAGGAAGAACGCCUGGUGGUUAAUACCCAUCAGGAAAGACAUCACUCACAGAAGAAGCACCGGCUAACUCCGUGCCAGCAGCCGCGGUAAUACGGAGGGUGCGAGCGUUAAUCGGAAUUACUGGGCGUAAAGCGCGCGUAGGUGGCUUGAUAAGCCGGUUGUGAAAGCCCCGGGCUCAACCUGGGAACGGCAUCCGGAACUGUCAAGCUAGAGUGCAGGAGAGGAAGGUAGAAUUCCCGGUGUAGCGGUGAAAUGCGUAGAGAUCGAGAGGAAUACCAGUGGCGAAGGCGGCCUUCUGGACUGACACUGACACUGAGGUGCGAAAGCGUGGGUAGCAAACAGGAUUAGAUACCCUAGUAGUC
rnacentral:rRNA from 1 species